rnacentral:tRNA from 1 species
GCGGAAGUGGCGGAAUGGCAGACGCGCAUGAUUCAGGUUCAUGUGAGGUAACACUCGUGGAGGUUCGAGUCCUCUCUUCCGCACCA